rnacentral:rRNA from 1 species
GACGAACGCUGGCGGCGUGCUUAACACAUGCAAGUCGAACGGAAAGGCCCUGCUUUUGUGGGGUGCUCGAGUGGCGAACGGGUGAGUAACACGUGAGUAACCUGCCCUUGACUUUGGGAUAACUUCAGGAAACUGGGGCUAAUACCGGAUAGGAGCUCCUGCUGCAUGGUGGGGGUUGGAAAGUUUCGGCGGUUGGGGAUGGACUCGCGGCUUAUCAGCUUGUUGGUGGGGUAGUGGCUUACCAAGGCUUUGACGGGUAGCCGGCCUGAGAGGGUGACCGGCCACAUUGGGACUGAGAUACGGCCCAGACUCCUACGGGAGGCAGCAGUGGGGAAUAUUGCCCAAUGGGCGGAAGCCUGAUGCGGCAACGCCGCGUGCGGGAUGACGGCCUUCGGGUUGUAAACCGCUUUCGCCUGUGACGAAGCGUGAGUGACGGUAAUGGGUAAAGAAGCACCGGCUAACUACGUG